rnacentral:misc_RNA from 1 species
GAUGAAGAACGCAGCGAAAUGCGAUAAGUAGUGUGAAUUGCAGAAGUACCGUGAAUCAUCGAAUCUUUGAACGCAAAUUGCACUCUCUGGUAUUCCGGGGAGUAUGCCUGUUUGAGGGUCGCUUAACAAACCAUCGAUUUCGUUGCUUUUUUUUUAAAGUGAUGUUUAUCGGAUUUGAGCCGUCUUUUUUUUUAUAUUUAAGUGGCUUAAAAUUGAUUUUUUUGGUACGAUCGAAGCGUAUUUUUAUGAUCAAUUUUUGGUUAAAGAAACGCACACGUACCGUUAUUUAUAUGAUGUAAUACGUUUGACUAUUGGAUUUAGUUCAUUCGUAUACGAUAUCUUUCAAUAUUUGAACUCAAAUCAGGUAAGAACACCCGCUGAACUUAAGCAUAUCAAUAAGCGGAGGA